rnacentral:lncRNA from 1 species
UGAGUAGCUAUGUAGAAAUUUCGUCGAUGUUGCUGCUGGUUUUCGGUCAGGUGAGCUUCAUCGUCUUCAUCCUUCCUUGAUGCGGUGGUCGGACCCGCCGACUGACUGUCGGGGGUGGAACCCAGAAAAUUUUUCUUCAAGCGGUUUUUGGUUUGAAUCUUACCCCAAAAAGGAAAUCAAACCGGUUUGGUGGUUAGUGCAGGUUUUUCAGUGAUUCAGAAUAGAGCUUGAAAAGGAAAAAAACCGGGUUGGUUCGAAACAGGGGGAAGGGUGAGCAGUUUAAAUUUCCAGGCUAGGGGAUUGUGCCUGAGAGCGUUUUAUCAUUAAAAUAACCAAAAUAGGGGAACAUUAAUUUUGUUUUUUUUGCUCUGGAAUAUAACGAUUCCGAUUGGUAGUUAAUUUGUAGUUUUGUACUAUGUUAUUCAAUCAAUGAAAAAGCAACAGAACAUUAUUCUACAAAAUGCUAUGUGCUCUCUAUAAGUAAUAACGUAGUGGUCUAAAUGUCUAGUACACAAACAAUUUUAUGUUAUAAAAGUA